GUCUUUCUCUUCUUAUCCCCCGAGCAUUUCGGUCCCUCGUGAUUCGACUUCUCUUUCUGUAGCUUAGUAUAGUAAGGUGAGCGCUGAAGCGCUGCACGAAUCUUUCUUAGAAAGAUUCAGCGAUGAAGUUCUGCCCCUGCAGAGCCCAACUCCUAGCUAAAACCCCCUUGUUUCGUCGAAGGAAAAUAGAAUCGUUAGAAGCAAGCGCUGCCCGAUUUUGGAAUCAUCACCUUAACAACUAGUGGCGCAUGAGCAUAGGUGUGAUGUUUUGGACGAGGGAUUACGGAUAUAGGCCUGUAGGUAUGAAAUAAUGUAGUAAGGCUUAUAUUGUACUGUUUAUGCUUUUGAUCUGUACGAACAUGACAUCCCGAGUCUUUUAAUGAAAUACAUUUCUAUGGAAAUGCUUUUGAUAAAUCUUUAUCAUAUUUUUGUUUUGGGACAAAUUCCGCAACACUUUCAUUUAAAAUGUAACUCUGAUUUUUAAACAAAGCAUAAACAAACCGGUCUUUUCUGGCCGUGAUUUUGGGGAUGUCACAAUGUAUCCAUUUGCCGACACAAACUCAACAACCAAUUUCAACAACCUACCUUUGGGCUACUUCAUGAUGGAUUUAUUGUUGGUUUCACCCAUCCCCGUUCCCACUGUUUUCUCGAACCAACACCCCCUUCACAUUCUCUUGGAUGCAACUAUUGUGAUGAUGCUACACCUCCACCUACUGAACCAACUUCGUCAACGCAUCCGCCUACUAGUGAGCCCACUUCACCGGUCUCACAAGAUACCGAGCUGCAGUCUGAUGGGCCAUCUUCCUCCAUUCCCAUGGAUACUCGUGUUCCACUUCUUUUUUUGUAUCAUCUAAUGACUACAUGUGCAAAAGCGGGUAUGUUCGAGCCUAAACAUAGGGCUGAUUUAGCUUUUGCU